UCCGUUGGUGAACCAGCGGAGGGAUCAUUAUAGAGUAGUUUUUACAACAACUCCAAACCCAUGUGAAUUUACCUAUGUUGCCUCGGCGGGGGAACCUACCCGGUACUCCCCGCCGAUGGACCAUUAAACUCUGUUUAUUUUGUAACUUCUGAGUGUUUAAACUUAAUAAGUUAAAACUUUCAACAACGGAUCUCUUGGUUCUGGCAUCGAUGAAGAACGCAGCGAAAUGCGAUAAGUAAUGUGAAUUGCAGAAUUCAGUGAAUCAUCGAAUCUUUGAACGCACAUUGCGCCCAUUAGUAUUCUAGUGGGCAUGCCUGUUCGAGCGUCAUUUCAACAAUCAAGCCCUAUUUGCUUGGCGUUGGGAGCGUAACCUGCCUGGCAGGAUACCUCCUCAAAUAUAUUGGCGGAGUCGCGAAGACCCCAAGCGUAGUAAUUCUUCUCGCUUCUGGUGUGUCGGCGCUGGCAUUCAGCCAUUAAACCCCUAAUUUUUUAGUCUUGACCUCGGAUCAGGUAGGAAUACCCGCUGAACUUAAGCAUAUCAAUAAGCGGAGGAAAAGAAACCAACAGGGAUUGCCCUAGUAACGGCGAGUGAAGCGGCAACAGCUCAAAUUUGAAAUCUGGCCUUACGGUCCGAAUUGUAAUUUGUAGAGGAUGCUUUGGGCGCGGUGCCUUCCGAGUUCCUUGGAACAGGACGCCUUAGAGGGUGAGAGCCCCGUACGGUUGGACACCAAGCCUAUGUAAAGCUCCUUCGACGAGUCGAGUAGUUUGGGAAUGCUGCUCUAAAUGGGAGGUAAAUUUCUUCUAAAGCUAAAUACCGGCCAGAGACCGAUAGCGCACAAGUAGAGUGAUCGAAAGAUGAAAAGUACUUUGAAAAGAGGGUUAAAUAGCACGUGAAAUUGUUGAAAGGGAAGCAUUUAUGACCAGACCUUUGCUAGGCGGAUCAUCCGGUGUUCUCCACCGGUGCACUUCGUCUAGCUUAGGCCAGCAUCGAUUUCUGUAGGGGGAUAAAGGUCUAGGGAACGUAGCUCUCUCCGGAGAGUGUUAUAGCCCUAGGCGCAAUACCUUUACGGGGAUCGAGGUUCGCGCUUCGGCAAGGAUGCUGGCAUAAUGGUCAUCAAUGACCCGUCUUGAAACACGGACCAAGGAGUCGAACAUUUAUGCGAGUGUUUGGGUGUUAAACCCUCACGCGUAAUGAAAGUGAACGGAGGUGAGAGCCCUUAAGGGUGCAUCAUCGACCGAUCCUGAUGUCUUCGGAUGGAUUUGAGUAAGAGCAUAACUGUUCGGACCCGAAAGAUGGUGAACUAUGCGUGGAUAGGGUGAAGCCAGAGGAAACUCUGGUGGAGGCUCGCAGCGGUUCUGACGUGCAAAUCGAUCGUCAAAUCUGCGCAUGGGGGCGAAAGACUUAUCGAACC
rnacentral:rRNA from 1 species